GCUUCCUUGGUGUAGUUGGUUAUCACGUGGGUCUCAUAGCUCUUACUAUGACUGUUCAAAGCAGCAGGAAUCCCAAGGCCGCCAGUUCGAGUCUGGCAGGGAGCA